GACUGGUUUCAAAUUAUAUUUUAACUUAAGGACUUAGGGCAACUUCACCGGUGGUCCAAAUCACUGUUUGGUUCCAAAUUUUUGGACCAUGUUGAAAUUUGAAGCGUGCACCGGUGUUGUAAAUAAUGUUCCAAUUUUAUUUUAUACCAGUUUUCUGGUCUAUUUUUUUGGAACAGGCUAGCUGCGUGGUCCAUUUUUGGUCGGAUUUGGACCAAGUUUUGAGCUGUUCCAAAACUGGUUUGACAAAUGUUUGUUUACCAGUUCGGAUGUUUUACGCUGAAACAGUCACCGUCUCUAGUUCCUACUCAUUUGAGCGCUACCCAUAAUAGAAAAUUUCAUCAUUCAUCGCAACAAACACGACCUCGCAAUACAUCUGAAUGAGGAAUUCGUGUUCCGGGAGCGCCGAGAUGACCAGCGAGGUGGCGGCCAAAAGUAUCGGAUGCAAGCGGUCACUCUUUCUGACUUUCUCUCCCGACCUGACACGGAUGCCACUCGGAAUGCGGUGUUCUUUCGCUCUUUGGGUGGCUCCAUAGUACCAAGCAGCGUUCUGAACAAACUGAUGAGAACAGCGGUGUGCGGAUCGAUUACUUCGUUAUUGUGUGCUGCUUCCAUGGAUUCAACAGAUGGGCUGCACUCUCCGCCAAGCUCUUGAGUUAGCCCAAUGCAUUUUUAAGGACUAUGUGAUACUCUCCAACAAAUCCACGGAACAGCUGGA